UACGUAGGGUGCAAGCGUUAAUCGGAAUUACUGGGCGUAAAGCGUGCGCAGGCGGUUAUGCAAGACAGAUGUGAAAUCCCCGGGCUCAACCUGGGGAGCUGCAUUUGUGACUGCAUGGCUAGAGUGCGGCAGAGGGGGAUGGAAUUCCGCGUGUAGCAGUGAAAUGCGUAGAUAUGCGGAGGAACACCGAUGGCGAAGGCAAUCCCCUGGGCCUGCACUGACGCUCAUGCACGAAAGCGUGGGGAGCAAACAGG
rnacentral:rRNA from 1 species